GACGUAGGGGGCCAGCGUUGUUCGGAAUUACUGGGUGUAAAGGGUUCGUAGGCGGUGCGGCAAGUCGGGAGUGAAAUCUCUGGGCUCAACCCAGAGGCUGCUUCCGAAACUGCUGUGCUUGAGUGUGGGAGAGGCGCGUGGAAUUGCAGGUGUAGCGGUGAAAUGCGUAGAUAUCUGCAGGAACACCCGUGGCGAAAGCGGCGCGCUGGACCACUACUGACGCUGUAGAGCGAAAGCGUGGGGAGCGAACAGG
rnacentral:rRNA from 1 species